AUCGAGGCUAGAGUCACGCUUGGGUAUCCGCUAUUGCCUUAGUGUGCUAGAGUCCUCGAAGAACAACUGCUGACCUUAUUCACUGACUCUGGCCCCCCUGUGGCAUGGUCAGUCACCAGGUUAGUGACAUGC